GAUCUAUUUUCCAAUUGUGGCGGACCUUGAGAAAAAAUAAAGGAGGAAAAUCUCUCAGCUCUCAACUGUAGCUCUCUGCAUCUUAAGACUAGUGAAGAUUUGAACUCCGAAGCUUUCAACUCUCAAAAUGAAAAUGGAAGCCCUCACCAGCCUAAGCCCUAAACCGCCUGAAACGAUGAGCAGCGCCGGCAUCGGAUACCCCGCCAAAAUGUCGCCGCCGUCGAGUCCGCCUCGGCUGUACUCCUCCAAUCCCUAGCGUACCUCCCACCGCACUACGGACCUCGGGUUCUAGCUCCGACGAUCCGUGCCAACCACCGCCUCGACGAGAAGGAGAUGUUCGCCGUCAUCAAUAGCGUGACCAAAGCCGCAGACCGCGACGACGCCGUUAGUCACCUCAAUUCCUCGUCUCCAGGUUGCAGGGGACCAAACGAAAGCUGGAAUAGGGGAGCAAGACUGAGUACUUACAGGCGCAGAGUCUACAGCAUGCUGUUUUGGUUCAUUCUGAUUCAGCCUCUUAAUGAUGGAAAUGCUCCCGAGCAAACACAAGUGUGUCAUUUUGCAUAAUGCUCCUUUAUUUUUCUGCAUGUUCUCCUUGUACGACAUAACUUUGACGUAAUGCAUAUUGAGAAGAAUAUGUGUCAUGGUAUUCUUGGUACACUUUUGAAAUUGAAGGGGAAGUCUAAAGAUGGUCUCAAGUCUCGUAAAGAUCUGGAAGCUAUGCAGAUCAGACAAGAUUUACACCCAAAGUAAGAGGAAAAAAGUUUCUGCUUUUUUGUAAUUGGAAAAAAGCUAUACUUGGCAUGUUUUGUAAGGAAUUAUGUAUCAAAACUUUAAUGAAAUGUACAAUUUUCUUUUGCAUGGUUA